AAUGAACGUUGGCGGCGUGGAUUAGGCAUGCAAGUCGUGCGAGAACCUGGGGAUUGAAGCUUCGGUUGAUUGAACUAGGGGACAGCGGCGCAAGGGAGAGUAACGCGUGGAUACCUACCUUCAGGUUUCGGGAUAGCUGCGGGAAACUGCAGGUAAUACCGAAUAAUAUCUCCGGAUCAAAGGUGUGAUUCCGCCUGGAGACGGGUCCGCGUCCUAUUAGCUUGUUGGUGGGGUAACGGCCUACCAAGGCUUCGAUGGGUACCGGGCGUGAGAGCGUGGUCCGGCUCACUGGGACUGAGACACUGCCCAGACACCUACGGUGGCUGCAGUCGAGAAUCUUCGGCAAUGGACGAAAGUCUGACCGAGCGACGCCGCGUGCGGGAUGAAGGCCUUCGGGUUGUAAACCGCUGUCAGUUGGGAGGAAUCUCAUAGGGCUAUCCCUAUGAGUUGACCUAUCUUCAGAGGAAGGACGGGCUAAGUUCGUGCCAGCAGCCGCGGUAA
rnacentral:rRNA from 1 species